UGUAUUUUUUAAAAAUAUUUUCAAUCUGCGGUUGGUUGAGACCGUGGAUGUGGAAUCCAUGGAUAUGGAGGGCUGACUGUUCACUGGCUUUUGGAUAAAAAUCCCAGCUCUUCCACUGACAAGCUGUGCGAUGCUGGGCAAGUCACUUAAGCAGCCAGAGCCUCACAUUUCCCAUCUACAAAAUGGGAAUACUAACACUUACCUUUAAGGGGUGGAAAUUAGGACUGAUGCAUUAUAAGCACCUGGCACCCAUGGAUGCUGCUGCAGCCGUUGCUAAUAUUAUUAAUAUUGACAGUGCCUUACCUUUCAUAAUGUAUAAGCCAUAUCUGACUGUGCAUCAGAAAUAGCUGGGAAGCAUUUAAGAAAAAUUACUGGGCCCCAUCCAAGAACUCCGGAAUCAGACUUUCUUGGAGUAGAACCAAAGCAUGCUGGCACCUCACUUGCUCCUCCAGGUGCGCCCCACACCCUUAUCCACCUGCUCUGGGCCCCAGGAGGCUGACUCCCCAUUGGGACAAAAGUGCACAUUGGGAUAGACUGUGGCUCCCCAUUGGGUCUCAGUUGAUUCGACUGAGAGUCAGGAUGGAUCAGCAAAGGGAUGUUCCUUCAAGCCCCUUUCCCACAGCUUUUCCAUGCAGCUUCCUCUCUUCAGCGCCUGCAGUCCUUGGGGUUGUUUUAAACAAUACCCAGGAUUUUUAUUUAAGACAGGGUCUCACGCUGUUGCCCUGGCAUGAUCAUAGCUCACUGCAGCCUCGACCUCCCCAGGUCAAGCCAUCCUCCCUCCUUGAGCUCCCACAGCACCGGGAUUAGAGGUGUGAGCCACCAGGCCCGGCCUGCACCCAGGAUUUUAAUCAGCCAUGGAUUAAGAUGACAACCAUGGAGACAACUGCUUGAAAGAAGAGUUUCUUACUGACGAUUCGACAGCACAACAGGACCAUAUGGGGAAGCACCGGAGUCAGUCAGGGGGUGGAAGGAGCUGGGGCAUGGACUGUGGGAAGGGAGGGGCGAGGCAAGCUGAGCAGGGUUCGGAUUGGCCAGUUCAAAUAAUUCCAGUGGGCUCUGGGCUACAGGGCUGGUCUCUAGCUGUCACAUACCUGGCCCAUGGGUGAUGAGGGCAGGGGUGUGAGAGUUACAUAAAGCGGGUGGUUGGGGCACAGCUUUGGCUUGGUUGGUUUGAUAGGGAGAGGCAGGUCCAAAGGCAAGGUGCUUGCUAUCUCUAGGAGUUAGCUAGCCCCAGGAAGGGAGUCUCUCCCUGGCCAGCAAGGCCCAGAGAUGUUUCACAGCAUCAGAAAAUAUAAAAAGCAGGCCAAGGCACAGUGGCUCACACCCGUAAUCCGAGCACUUUGGGAGGCCGAGGCGGGUAGAUCACCUGAGGUCAGGAGUUCAAGACCAACCUGGCCAACAUGGCGAAACCCCAUCUCUACUAAAAAUACAAAAAUUAGCCAGGUGUGGUGGGUGCCUGUAAUCCCAGCUACUCAGGAGGCUGAGGCAGGAGAAUCACUUGAACCCAGGAGGCUGAGCUUUCAGUGAGCUGAGAUCGCACCACUGCACUCCAGCCUGGGUGACAAGAGCGAGACUCUGUCUCAAAAAAAAAGAAAGAAAACAUAAAACGCAUGAUUACUCAGGGGUGAUAAAUGCACCCACUGUUCCAACCUCUGGGAACUGCACUGUCCCUUGUGCACAGCUUCCUGAGUAACUCUCUCUUAACUGCUCUGCAAAUUAGCCAUUGGGGUGCCCUCUGUUUCCUGCAGGGACCUGACCAAUACACGAGGAAUCCCCAGGUGAUCCCAAGGCAGCCAGGCACUGGAGCAGAUGCUUUUUCAGAACCACUUCGUGCACUGCACAGAGCUGAAAGUUAGCAAAGCUCAGAGGGUCUGGUUGGAUCUUCACAGUAAGUCUAUGGAAGGAAUAUUUAGGAAUGGACAAAAGUGCACACUCUGGGGCUCCUGAGGGUUCCCAGGUGACCGCAGCAGCCUUCACACAGGCUUCUCCAGCGCAGCUCUCAGCAUGAACGGCCGCUCAGUGGGGCCCUGGAGGCGGUGGGCUCCUUGAGACAGGAGGUAUCUGGGUCCAGUGUCUUAUGGGAAGUGCCACUGUAUUCUGUGGGAGCCUUGAUGCUUCCAGGAAUACUGGGGAAAUUUCGGGAUUUCCAGCCCAGCAGGCAGGAUGCUUGUGUCGUAUGAGCGGGUGUUUCCCCCAUGGCCUCGUCUUUGACCCACGUGCUGGCUUCCAUCCCCUCCCUGUCUUGCACCUCUGUGUUCUCUCUCACCCUCUGGCCUGUUAAUGAGCUUAGAUUUAGACCUUCCCAGUCUUCCUGCAGGGGCCCUCUGCUCGACACUGACGGCUUGCCGUGGCUUCUGGCUGGGGUCUGGGUGGGGAGCUGGGAGUCCUCACGUCCUGGGUUUUAGGUGGUUUGUCUAGGCAGUCUUUCCAGUGAGGAACAGUUCUAAUUGGCGGUGGGUUUCCAGGGGUCUGCUCGGCUUAUGGGCACUGUGCUUGCCCAAGGACACUGGCUCCUGGCUAAGGGAAGACAUGGGGCAGGGGGCGUGGAGCCAGGUGGAGUCAAGAGCUCACGGUAGCGGACCAGGAGGGACAGACGCUGGAUGGCCAGCUCAAAGCAAGCUUCGUCCCUGAGAAGUGCCUGGAGGAAGAGCUGCACCAGGUGUUGACCAACCAGGACUUUGCAUUAAUUUAUGUGUUUAGCCCGCCAGCUGCUCUGUUAGGCAGAUGUCUGCAGGCUGAGCCUCUCAGUGUCUGGAUAUGGAGAUGAUGGAGUACUUUGGAAUUAGCAAGAUAAAGUUUUAAAGGGACUGAUUUAGCUGGCUAGAGUGACUGCUUGCACCGGUAGACAAAUGGGGUGGAAAUACUUUUAAAUGAACUGUGAUGAUUGCCAUGAGAAAGACCAGUGAGAGGAGGUGCCUGGGAAGAUAAAAAUCAAACCCAGUUAGCAUGACGAAAGCUCCCUUCUGGCCUCUGCACAGGGGAUGAGUGGUUGGAGACGGUUCCGUGGCCCGACCCUGCGAGACCAUUAGGACUUUCAGGGGGAAUGGCCACCUCCUCCCCACGACCGAUUCUGGUUAUCACCAGCGGCAGGCAGCUUCCCUCGGCGAGGGUCCUCUUGAUGGCUCUGCAGACAGGACGGGGGCUCUCUGAAGAGGGGAGGUACUGGCGGAAGUCCCCUGGGCUCCAUCAGAAAUGUGGUUGGACAUGAAGGCAGGUCCCAGCUGCCAGCUGCCCGGGGGAGCCCAGCUCCCCCGAGAGUGCUCAGCUGUGGUCUUUCCCCGGGGCCCCAGCUACAGACUGCCCAUCGGCCCCUCACCAUCGAACAUCUACUCUUGGAACUGAUGCACCUGCAGAAUUGGAGUUUCAGCCUUCAGCAUGUGUGUGUGAUGGAGCUUCGUAGAAUGUGGUGGGGCUUAGAACAACAGUAUCUCAGAGGAAGGAUGUGCAUCUCCCAGGCCAGGCUGGGACCAGGGAGGGAUGGACGGGAGAGGAGCCGCAGGAGCCUGCUCACUGCGCAGUGUCCCAGGGGUAACAAGCUCCUGCCUAAUCAUGUUCAAAGUUAGGAAUUCGUCCCCUCCUAGGUAUACCCCCAAAGGAAGAACACGGAGACCCAGACAGGUAUUUGUACACCUAGGUUCAGGGCAGCAUUGUUCACAGUAGCCAAAAGGUAGGAGCAACCCACGUGUUUAUCAGAAUGGAUAGACACAAUGUGGCCUGUCCACACAACAGGAUGCGGUUCAGCUUUCAGACGGAAGGAGAUUCUGACACGUGCUGCAACAUGGACGGACCUUGAGGACAUGGUGCUGAGUGAAAUAAGCCACACACAGAAGGACAAACACGAUAUGAUUCCACUUAUGUGAGGCACCCAGUCAUCAAAUUCAUAGAGACGGAAACCAGGAUGGUGGGUGCCACAGGCUGGGGGGAGUGGGGAGUUGGUGUUUAAUGGGUGCAGAGUUUCAGCAGGGGAAGAUGAAAACGUCCUGGAGGUGGAGGGUGCUGAUGGCUGCACAGCAGUGUGAAUGCACCUGAUGCACUGAGCUGUACCCGUAAAAAUGGUGAAGAUGGGAAAUUGUAUGUUAUGCAUAUUUUACCACAAUACUUUUUUUAAUUUGAAAAGUUGGGAAUUUAUAAAUUAAAUGUGGGGUCCUGUGCCCCAGAACACAGUUGAGGAGAGCUGCAGGCUCCGUGACCUCGGACCCGGCCCUUCCCUCCAGGCUGCCUGGGGGGACUCGAGGGGAGGGGAAGCUGCUCUGCGUGUGGCCUGCAGCCUGAGGUCAGCUCAGAGGGACGGGGCCGGGUGAGGCCUGGGUGUGAGCAGAUGAGGGAGGCAGGGUGAGGAUGAAACGAAAUAAUCAUCUCGUGCCCUGCAGGCAGUGUCUAGCCCACAGGAGACGGAGCCGUGGUUGUUGAUAUUCUUGCAUUCACCAUCAUCACACUGACCCCUAGCCCAGUCCAUCGCCCUUUGACCCACGUGCUGGCUUCCAUCCCCUCCCUGUCUUGCACCUCCGUGUUCUCUCUCACCCUCUGGCCUAUUAAUGAGCUUGGAUUUAGACCUUCCCGAUCUUCCUGCAGGGGCCCUCUGCUCGACACUGGCGGCUUGCCGUGGCUUCUGGCUGGAGUCUGGGUGGGGUCUGGGUGGGGUCUGGGUGGGUGUGUUCAUCCUCCGUGAACACACAAGCACACCCCAAAGCCGGCGCUCUCUUUCUGGCACUCAGAUUUCUCACCAUCUUUUCCAGCUAUGGAAACCACUCCCAACAUAAGGAACACACCGCCCCAGAGGCUGUUAGGUGAUGCGUGGGUGGGAUAUUAAAUACGCCUGUCCGCUCCAGAGAGCAUCGCCGCCUUCCAGUUCCUUCUCAGUGGUGUCAGGAGAAAGGCUCCUGUUGGGGCCCGUGUGUCGCUAACGCCUCUGCAGCGCCUGCAGUUUCCCUUUGUCACUAGCAUGGAAGGCAGGCCUCGGACUCCAGCCUGCUGCAGUAUCCGCUUAUAAUUUCAUAACUUCCCUUCUUUGUAUUUAUUUUUAGAGUUUCUUUCUAUUUUUGGCAAGUGGAACUGGUUUUUUGUUUACCAUAGUGUAUAAUGUUUACUUUAAAAAUAACUUUUAAAAAUGAGUCAAUUAAAAAGAAUUAAAUCAGUACUAGGAGAAGAGGUCUGUGGCUCUGGCAGAAAUCACGAAGCGGGUGUGCCGUGGGGUGGGGAUUUGGCAACACACAGCUGCAAGCUUGAGAGACCUAGAGAAUUUCCACACAUCCUUCAAACCCUCGCACAAUGGGGACCUCCUCUCUGUGGUUCCCUCCGACUACCGCCCCCUAAACAAGACAACACACAUAGCUAUUAGAGCACAGAUUGCACUCUACACAAACUGCCUCCGUGUAGUCCGGCUAAAGAACACACUUCCUAAGGCAGGGAGUGGGGUAGGGUCACCCUGCAUCACCAGCCCCCAGCUUAGCGUGGCCCAGAGCAGAGUCAGGGAGCGUUUGUCACUUAGAGGCUGCUGGCCAAGGGGGUGGAAGGGUCUCCACCAGGGGCAGGGAAGGGCAAGACCCACACAUUUCUACAAGGAGAGGUCAGCGUCCCAGACCUUCCCAAAGGCCUCAGUGGUUCAGGCAGCAGAAGUUCCUGUUCCUGUCCCUAAAGAUGUCAGGUCAGAAAAAGAAUACUGAGCUAGCUCCCUGUGCAAGUGAGGGGACAUAAAAGAAGGACCCCAGCUCAGGGUUCAGUCCACAUGUCUCAACUCACCUUCUCACGAGUUUCUCCAACUUAACCUCGUCGUAACAGCAGUUGUAUGUGCUGCCACGGCAUUUUACGUAUAUAUAUACAUAUAAUGUCACUUAUUCUCCAAAAUAAAUCAACAACACAGGGACUAUUAUCCCCAUUUUACAGCUGGGGAAACUGAGGCUGUGGCUUCCCCUGCAGUCACACAGCUAGGCUAGGGACACAAAUCGACAUCUCCUAACUCCAGUAUCCAUUCUGCUGCCUUCCUCGGACUUCCGUGUGCCCAGCUGACCCCCAGACGUGGCUGUCCUUCCACCUGGCCAGCCUGGCACGGCCAGAGCUGCUCCAACAGUCCUUCCCAGCUGGGCUGGAAAUGUAAUGGAUCCCAUACAGACACCCAUUUGGCUCCAGAUGAAUGGUAACCAUGGCUCAGGUGUUUUCCAGCAUGGCCAAGGGGCUGCAGGCUGCAGGGCCAUCCCCCGCAGCAGCAGGGACACAGGAAACAGCAAUACGUGGGUCCCUGGACUGGUGAGACCCAGAACCUGGGGCCUCUGACAUCAGGGCUCAAGGUGAGGGUGCUGCCUCACAUCCUGUUCCUCUGGCCCCUGGAAAGUAGUAAGGCCAGGGAUGCGCAGACCUGUCUCAGUUUCCCGUAGCUGAGUUUGAGAGCUGGGACCUUCCAGCUUAGGAAGCCUUAGAAUCAACACAGGACGAAAGGUCCAGGCUUGCUUUUGUGACGGCUUUAAGAAAAAAGAACUUGACUUUUUCAAAACAAGCUACUAUGUCAACAGCAAUGGUGACAACUACCAUUGCUACUACCAGUGGCUAGCAAGCGCUGCUCUGUGCUCUGCAGAUGCAUCAAAUCCUCACCACCCCCACAGGUCCUGUCAAUGCCCCCAUUUUAAAGAUGUGGAAGUGGAGGCCGAGAGGAGGGAGGAGGCUGGAGAGGCAUUUAGAAGGCCUCCAACACCGGCGAAGAUGGGAGUGAGUUUGCGUUGCAAUGCCUCUGAGGCCCACGGCUUGGAGGCCGAUGUGUGUCUCCCAAGAUGAGAUUCAUGGGGGUCGUUCACCAGGAUGGGAUUCAGGAAAGAGGUGGCGCAGAGGGGAGACUGAGGGACCAGGGUGAUGUGGACACGAUGGCCUUGAGGUGCACUCACCCCGAGGCUCUACUGUGUUUUGUGUCCUGAAGUGUGCGCUGAGUUAGACUCGCCAUCCGGAGCAGGCAGGAAGCCAGGCAAGCGGCGAGUCCACACCACCGCUGGUUGGUACUGACCACCCCACAUCUCCCUGCCCCUGCACGCCAGUCCCUCAGAGGACUCACUGCUGUUGAAUCCCCAGGACAGUCUACUUCUUUACCGUGUGUAGCACGAUCACUCUGCCUCCCCAUCUCGUGAGGACGUGACCGCCACCCCGCGGGGACUUUGCUCUUCUGUUCACUGCUGCGUUCCCGACACCAAAGGGCUCAGAGCCUGCUAGAAUAUUCUAGAGAGGGGCAGAAAGCACGCUGAGGCCAGAGUGGGCCUCUUCCUAUUUCAGGCUCUGAAAGUGGCCCAGUCUUGCCCUGGGUGCUGUGGGCCUGUCCACCAGGAGGGCCUCCUCGAGGCUGCACAGCAGGCUUGCUCGGAGGCCCAUGUCAGAGGGGUUAUCUGCCUCUGUGUGAAGAAUGCUUUUAAACCCAUGCCUGGGUUCCUGACCUUCUGAGAGAGAAAACAGAUGCACCAUUUAACCCUCCUUGCUCCAGAGGAGCCCAGCAUCUCCAGUUUUAGGGAGUCCGGUCACGCUAAAGAAUGUCAGGCUUUUGCACCCUAGGGGUUAACGACAGCCUGGUGUUCUAAGUCCCAGAGCUCGCUGCAGGAUCUCCGAACCCCCAGCCUCUGAAGCUUUCACCUGUCAGCGUUCUGAUUAACAACUGGAAGGCCGACCCCUGUUUUCUGAUGGGUUCCGUGUACACGCUGUGCAAGGCUGUGAAGGUGGAAAUGCUAUUUUCUUUUGCCACUGGGAGGUCAGGAGCACUUAAUAAGACCCCUGGCCCCACCUGGCUGGGCUUUGGAUAUGAUUUUUAAAUCAAGUGAACUAUUUUUAGGGCCCUACUCAAAGCUACCUCUUCAUCCAUGUUAAUGAUCAUGCAUCAAAACCGUGUUGUCAUUUACAAGGCGUUGUUCCAUAGGCAGCAGUGGCAUUCUGGAAGGAGACUGAGCUUAGAGCUGAAGACUUCCGUUCAAGCACAGAGCCACUGUGUGACCUUGGGCAACUGAGUUAACCUCUCUAAGCGCUGCUUCCUCAUCUACAGAACUCUGCCACAUGGAAUUGUUAUAAGGCUGAGGCCUCACGGGAUCUGAGAGCUACACCCAACAUCUGGGGCAGUUUUGUUUGGCUUGCAGUGUCUUAAAGCAUUUGAAUCAUUAACCAUUUAAAAAUUUAGGUGCCCUUUAAAAAUCCAGCUUUUUCUAUUGUUUAAUGGUGAAGUGGGGAAGCUCUAGCAGCACGGAGCCGGCUUUCCUGCACUUCCACGUCAGGGCUGAGUGACGGCCGCAGCCUUCACAGGUAACCUGGGGCUGGACCUUACGAAUAGCAACGUGCUUGUAAUCAUGUGUGUUACACCAGGAAGAAGCUAUUUAUUGUGUCUAAGUGGGGUACGUGCACAUUGAAACCACUCAAGUGACCAUCAGCGGCUGAAUGGAUAAAGAAAAUGUGGUAUAUGCAUAUGAUGGAAUAGUAUUGAGCCCCUAAAAGGAAGAAAAUUCUGAUGCAUGCUCCAACAGGGAUGAACCUGGAGGAUAUCAUGCUAAGUGAAAUAAGCCAGACACAAAAGGAUACAUACUGCACGAUUUUACGCAUAGGAGGUCCCUAGAGUAGUGAAAUUCAUAGAGAAAGUAGAGUGGUGGGUGUGGGCUGUGGGAGUGCCGAAUCGGGAGUUAGUGUUUAAUGGGUAUAGCAUUUCAGUUUGGGAAGAUGAAAGAGCUCUGGCAGUCGACGUGGUGAUGGCCACAAGGUAUCGCGGAUGCACUUAAUGCCGCUGAGCUGUACGCUUAAACGUAGUUAAGAUGGUACAUUUUGUGUUAUGUGUAUGUUACGGCAGUAAAAGGGGGUAGGUGAACAGCUCCUGCCAACUGGUGUUGGGGAGGCGGCAGAUUUCUCCCCAUGAGCCUGUGGUUGUGCUCACGCCCGGCCGGGAGGCCCACAACAAGAGGUUCGUUCUGCAGCCUGAGGUCUCUGCACGCCCAGGCUGGUUUCUGAAGAGCAGCAGGCCUCCUGGUAUUUACGCUGCAUGGACCAGGCAGGCCAAAGGGCUCAUACCUGCACAGUGUCCGCAGCCACAAAGGGAGGACCAGAUGUUUGAGCUCUUCCUUGUUUAUAAACAAAACGUCCGUUCCCAUCCAGACCCCCUGUGUUUACACCGCGGCAGGGCUGGGGGCCACCGUGCACAUUUGGAAAGCAUCCUUGGGGAAGCCUGUGUCCCGCUCGCCUCUCAGCUGUGUGACGGAGUGAGUUCAUCAACUUCUUCUCCCCUGGCAUCCUCAUCGGCAAAGCAGAGACACUAACAAUACCUGCCUCAUAGGUUGGGGUCCCAGUGGCGGUUUCCAAAGUGCGGGGGACAAGGUGUGGCAUGCAGGGAGUGCUCCUAUUAUCGUGAUUAUUGUGGUUUUUCCUGCAUCUUUUCCUGCCCUUUCCUCCCAUCCUACUCCCACACCUUUCCAGACCCGGUAACAGUUUCACUCCACCUCACGGCCUCAGCCCAGGAAGAGAAUACCAAAUCCACAUACAUCUUGACCUUUCUCAGAAAAGAAACUUAUUUCCACACAUCUGAUGAAAAGCAGUUUUCUGAAACACUUAAAAUUCAAAAAUGCUUAUUUAUUUUCUGGAAAGAAUAGAAAGAAAUCCUUAAUUUACUUGCAUCUUACCUAGCCUGAAGUAAAAACGGUGCUUGUAGCUUAAGGGUAUGCAGCUCUCAAGAUAACUGGAAUCUUUGGAGCAAAAAAGCCCAUCCGUGCUGCUGAAGUUCAGAUGCACUUAAAAAAAUAGUUCCCUUUGUGUCGCUGCGCGGUGAGGCGUGAAAUUGCACCUAACCAUCUGCUGACGUGGCCUUUGCACAUUCCAGCCCUUGCAACCUUUGGGUAAGGUACAUGGUGCCAGCCUUCAGCUGGUUCUGCUUUGCUAAUUAUUCCAAAUAAAGAGCAAACGCCGCCUUCCUGUUUCUCUCCUCCUCGUUCCGCAGUCAUCUGCUGUCCGUAAAUUUUCACCAAGUUUCACACCAGUUUCCAUUUUGGCUCCAGCUCUGAAGACGGAACCAUGGGGACAUUUGUUAAUGAAAAAUCUGGGAAAUUUGAUGUGGGAAACGUUCUUUUGCUACAGGCAUCUAAUUGUUGAGAGGAUCUGACUCGUAAUUUGUAGUUAAAUUUGUUAAAUCCCGGAAGGUUUUGAUUUUUUUGUUUUUGUUGUUUCAGUAAUGCAGAGUCAAAAUUAAGUUAAAAAAUUGUUCUACCUUUGUAUUUGGCCUGGUCGUGCAUUUUCAUCAGCUGUUAUGGAUGGAGGAUACUGAAUAGCACAACAAUAGUAAUUUGGGGAUUACUCAAUGGGGGUGAUUUAUAGAAACUCGAAGCUCUUAACAUAAUGUUUUGUUAAAAAUGCUUCCUCUUGUUGUGCCUGAUUUAAUACAGAUUCUUCUCUUUUGUUCUUUAUUCCUUUAAAUGACUGAAGUAAGUUAAAUGCAUACAGGUUUAUCUUAGCCUCAAAUGCAAAGAUAAAAGGAAUCAAUAUGAAAAGCACCCUAUAAGUUACAUCAGUGACAGAAGAAUGUUGAAUUUUCAUUACUGACCAGAGUAAAUGCCUCAGCUGCUUUUGUUUAAAAGCUGUGUUGGGGAUUGGGCCUGAUUGCUGGGUGGGGGGGAACCUCUUGGAGACUCCAUGUCAUCUGUGAAAUGACAGUAAUAAAACCAGAGUUAAAUUAUGUGGAAAUGUUUACCAUGCAUGGCACAGAGGAAAUGUUGAGUAGAUGGCUACUUAUAUCACAAGCCCCUCCUCCCAUCCUUCCAAAAUGCUUAAUAAGCUCCUACUAUGAGCCAGCAGCUGUGCUGGGUGCCAAGAACACAGUGCUGUGCAAACUCACCAACUCAAAACCAAUUUGCAGUGCACCGUCUGAUUGCCUGGGCAGGAACUUUCGCGGCAGCUCCUUGAAGUACCACAACUCAUCCGCCUCUUCCCUGACAUUUCCUUCUGUUCUUGAACUUGUGUAGAAUUCAUUGUCUGUGUUCUCCAAUUUGCACCCCUAUAUUUUCCUCCAACAUGCCAUUGCUGUCUUGAACCCCUGUUAUUUCGAAUAGGAUAAAAAACCCUACCAGUGUCCUCAAUAUGUACGGAGAACAUGUUGUGUGCUUGCCAAGACUUCAUUUUAUCCUCUCACAAACUCCCUGUUAGGUGAAUAUGGUUCUCUACCUUGUAUUACAGGUGAGGAGACUGAGGCAAAUUGCCCAAGGCCGUGAGCCAGCAGGAGCUUCUGUUUGUAAGGACUGUUGCAUGCUGGCUACUCCGGUCUCUCCAAGUAGACAAAUCAUUUAAAAUACCCUCAAAGCAUUCCCACAGUUAUCUAAGCUAUUAAAAAAUGGUUUGUACUUUCAGAGGGCAUUGCCUGCUCACCAUGAUGCCGAAUAGGCCCUCCUUGGGUGGACUCUCCCUGUGGCUAACCAGGCCCAGCGACUGCUAGAGCCCAGUUUGAGAAAGCUAGAGGCACUGGGGAUGGCAGGUCCCUUGGCCUGACUCUACUCAGCUCCUCUUCCAGGCCUGUGGGUGAUGGGCCUGUCUUUGCCGCGGCUGCCCCUUGUGGUGGAAACAGCCAUUACAGCUAGGAGAGGUCACCAGGACAUGGCCAGGCUGGACUCGUGGCGGUGGCCAGCCUGGGCACACACUGAUGCUCCUGUGGAGAGUCCUUGUGGCCACAAGGUUGGGAGAAGUGACUUGUUCUUGAGGGGCGAAGCAGCACGAGGAAUUCGGCUCCUGGGCUGCAGCCAGUUCCCAUCUCUGCACAAUUUCGUGGAAGUCCCCUGGUCCUGCUGCCAAAAAUGUAAAGUGGCUUGUUUCUGUUCCCCAACCUGCCUUAGAGGGCAGCUCUCUUAAAGGGCUGCCAUCCGACUUUCCCAUGGGAGUUUAUGCUAUUUAUUUCUUUACGUUUAAAAAAAAUGGGGGCAUGAGCUGAGACCCCCACAACUUGAAUGUUAUAGAAUAGGGGAAGGGGCAAUCUUGGGUGUCUCUCUUCCCUCCCGCACUGACUGAAGACCACAGGGCAGCAUGGUCUGGGGCUUGUUUUUUUAUUUUUGUCCAUAUAUCCUAGCAACAUACGGCUGGUAAGACCUUUUAUAAAAUGUGGAGGCCAAAAAAUGUCCAUGCAUGCCAGGGGAACAGGCAUAAGAUAAGAAAAGCAGGGCAAAGGGAUUCCGUGGAUUUUCACUGGAAGCAAAAGGCAGCCAGCUAGGGUGGGAUACUUGUCAGACUGCAUGGAAAGCAUCUGGGAAGCCGAGGCUGCUCAACAGUGGGAACCUGAAAGCUGUUUUCCCGUCUAGAAGAGGAGAGAGCCACACCAGGAUUUGGACAUCUUUUACUAUUUCGCCCUCUCACAGAAGCUCUUCUGAGAGCCCAGAUGAUGUUUCCCAGUUUGGAUGAACAGGUUAUUAGGAUUAUUUUCUCCACUUGACAGAGCUUUCCUUACAGAUCCCAGCAGCCCACCUGGCACUGCCCUGUCUCGGUGGCUAGACGGCUGGUCCAUCCUACUGGGAUGGGCAGUGCCAUGCUCAUCUUUGCCAAGGGCUUUUUUCUUUGUGGUUAUUUUCCCCUUGGGGUAAAGAACUGUGGGUGCCAUCUGUCUGUGCCUGGGGAAGGUGCUUCUGUAGUAGGUCUGCUGUGAAUUGUUUAGUUGAUAAAAUCUGGGGGUUCUGCAUGGCAAAUCCUCUGAGUUCUUGGCUGUUCAGGAGACUGUUGGAAGUGAUUAGGAAAAGCAGAAAUAAACACACUAUGAACAUCACAGCUGGGCUUUCCCUAACAAAUCCCAGGUUCGAUGCUUUUAAAAAUCUAUUUCUAUAAUUAUAAACUAAGGCAUACACAUAAUAGAAAACAGAAAAUAUAAAGAAGGAGAUUUUAAAAACACCCAUUAUACCACCAUAAAGAGAUAACAGUUGUUAUUAACAUCGUAUUGAAUUUUCUUCUUUUGGCUUCAAAAUUGUAUGUGUGCGUAUAACAAGACAGAACACUCUCUAUUAGUUUUGUAGCUUUUUUCCAUCCUGGCCAUAUCAUGAACAUUUCUCCAUGUCAUUAAAUUGUUUAGGGAAAAAAAUCUUAUUUGAAAUGUCUUCUAACCCUUUUUAUAUUAAUUUUUUGAGACAGCAUCUUGCUUUGUCACCCAGGCUGUAAUGCAGUGACACAAUCUCAGCUCACUGCAACCUCCAACUCCUGGGUUCAAGCGAUUCUCCUGCCUCAGCCUCCCAAGUAGCUGGGAUUAUAGGUGCACGCCACCACGCCCGACUAAGUUUUGUAUUUUUAGUAGAAAUGAGGUUUCACCACGUUGUCCAGGCUGGUCUCAAACUCCUGACCUCAGGUGAUCCACCUGCCUUGGCCUCCCAAAGUGCUGAGAUUACAGGUGUGAGCCACUGCCCCCGGGCCCCCUUUUUAUUAUGGAAAAAUUUCAAACACUGUACGAAAGUAGAAUGAUGUGAGCCCCACAUACCAGUCACCUGGUUUCUGCAAUUACUAAAUCACAAUUCUUCUUGUUUCAUAUGUAAACAUCUUGUUUCCCACCUAUUAGCCACCUGGGUAAUUUGGAAGCAAAUUAUAGACAUGUUUAUUGUUUUGGCAAAUAUUUAGUAUAAAUAUUUAAAAGUCAAAGGCAUUUUAAAAAAUCACCAAAAUACCAUUUAUUACACGUAAACAAAUUAAAAAUUAACAAAUAUUUAAUUUCCAAUAGCAAUCCAGUUGAUGUGCAAGUUCCCCAACUGUUUCAUGAUUCUUUGGUGGUUUGAAUCAGGAUCCAGUCAAGGUUCCCAUAUUGUGAUUGGUUCUUGAGUCUGCGAAGUCUGAUUUAGCCCACAGGUUUUGCCUCCUUCCCUUUAAUUUUUUCUUACAAUUUAUUUGUUGAGAAAACUCAGUCCCUUGUCCUGGAGUUUCCCACCACCUGGAUUUUGAUGAUUGUCUUCCUGUGGUGUCAUUUAAUAGAUUCCUCUGCCCCUGUAUUUCCUGUAAACUGGUGGGUAGAUCUGCAGGCUGCAUGAGCUUCAGGUUUGGUUUUGGGGGUAAGAAUAUUAAGUGGUGGGGUGCACGCCCCACAGGAGGCACAGAAUGAAGGUGUUCCUUUUUGUGACGUUCACUGCUGUUGAUCAUGCUUGCCCAGAUCCAUUCUAUAAGGAUUUGUAAAAUAAUGGUAUUUUGAUCCUUUUACUCUUCUUCGUUGUUUUGUUUAUUUUUUGUUUGUUUGUUUGUUUGUUUUGUUUCUUGUGUUUUUUUUUUUGGAGACAGAGUCUUGCUGUGUUGCCCAGGCUGGAGUGCAGUGAUGCAAUCUCAGCUCACUGCAACCUCCACCUCCUGGGUUCAAGUGAUUCUCAUGACUCAGCCUCCUGAGUAGCUGGAAUUAUAGGCGUGCACCACCAUGCCCAGCUGAUUUUUAUAGUUUUAGUCAAGACGGAGUUUCACUAUGUUGGCCAGGCCAGUCUCGAACUCCUGACCUCAAGUGAUCCACCCGGCCUCCCAAAGUACUGGGAUUACAGGCAUGAGCCACCGUGCCCGGCUCUGUUACUCUUCUUUCUUUAUUAUCUGGAAUACUUCUACAAAGAGAACUGCACCCCCGCCCCCUGCAUCCACUGUUCAGCUACCCUGUGGUACAGUUCACUUAGGAACAGCAGGAUGGAUGUUUUUAUUUUUUCUCCCUUAUUUACCAAUUUUCCAAAUAAUGAGUUUGUUCCCAGCAUCCUCCAGAAGUGAGGUCAAUCGCAGUUAUUUCUACUGACACCCAAGGGUUCUCAUCUUUGGACGGUGGGAGCUUCAGGGUGGCAUCACAGACACCGGUGUAGCGGCUCGGAGGCUGUGGACACCCAGCUUACUACUGUUCUGUAGCUCCCUCGUUCUCAGCGUGCGAUGUCCUCUCCUGGCCCCCGCUGGCUGCUCCAGCUCCUACUCCUGGGUCAUCACUCAGCCUGCAGGAAGCAAGAAAGGAAAGGGCGGGGUGGCACGCACCUUCUCUCAAGAGUGAGCCCGAGAAGGAAGCUGCUCCCAUCUGUUCCGCCAACUGCAAGGGAAUGUGGGACCAGGAAGGCUUAUGCCAUCCUAACGUUUUUCUUACCAUAGAAGAAGGGGAAAACGAUCCUUGCGGACAACCAGCAGUUAGAGCCCUGCUUAGCACCUGGAAACGACACUUCUCACCUACACCAGGUGGCCACAUACCUAGGGCUGCUUGCUGGAUGGGAGGGCUCAGGGUCUGGCAUUAUGUUUUAUUUCACCAUAGGGCCGUGAGGGUAUGUAAUUCCCACAUCUAAAUCAGCCUUGUUCCUGCUCCGGGGCUGGCUUUGGAAUGCUGCCAUUUCAUAGUAAACAGGUCCUACAGUGACAAGGUGUCACCUGGAAUCUGGUAUCUGAACUUGCUGAGGUGUGGCAGACACUGUUAAUGGAGGUCAGGUGUUGUUCUUCUGCGCCGGGUAUACGGUCAGCAGAUGGCUACUAGACCAACGUGGGUGAAAGGGGCAUUUGGACACAACGCGUGAAGUCCAGUUCCUGUCACUUACUAACCGGCGCUGGAUGCCACUCAGUGCCCAUGCCUUGUCUCUAGAGCUCUGCAAAAGGGUGCUUUGUGUAUAAUUUUCUCAGAAACAUACGAGACCAGACAACAAAAGCUCUGCUGUGUCUCGGGCCACUUCUCUAAUUAGGAAAAAUAGUAAAAAGGUGGGGUGGGGUGGGGGAGGUGCGGCAUCGUUGGAGGUUGAAAGCUGUGUUUAGUCCGGGACAGUUCUACCUUUAAUUAUCCUGUCUGAGGUGACUUUAAUGAGCAUUAUUUUUAAUGCCUUCAUUUAGGGGGGUGGGGGGAAUGCUUUUUGCAUCCAACCAUAGAAAACAGCUUUAUUCAUGAGGCUUGAAGGACAGCGUCGUUGCUGUCGGGUUUGUAGUGGUUGUGAGCGAGAAACCUCUCGGUUUGUAGCGGCUCUGAGCCAGAAACCUCUUAUCAGAGUCAUGACCAGAAGGCGAAUGGCCAGUUACUAUCAGGGAACCACAGGGUUCAGGCUGGCUGGGGUGCCUGCUUCCCAUGACCAUUUCCCAGCGGCAGACGUGGGGGAAGACAGGGCCAGACACAGGGCAGGCAGGGUUGGCCUCCCAGGGGCCUCCCAGUUCCUCUGAUAGCAUCUCAGUCCACUUGGGCUGCCAUAACAAAGAUAACUUAGACUGGGUAAUUUAUACACAAUGGAAAUAUAUUUCUCAUAAUUCUGGCCUGUAAUCCCAGCUACUUGGGAAGCUGAGGUGAGAGGAUUGCUUGAGCUUAAGAGUUGGAGGCUGCAGUGAACUCUGAUCGUAACACUGCACUCCAGCCUGGGUGACAGAGGGAGACCCCAUCUCUAAUCCAUUAUUUUAUUUUAUAUAUAUUUUUAAAUUAUUUUAAAAAGAAAAAAGAAAUGAACCUAAGUGACAAAAAAGCAUGGUUUAUUUAAAAAAAAAAAAAACUUUAUUUCUUACAGUUCUGAAGGCUGGGAAGUCCAAGAUCAAGGUGCAAGCAGAUUCAGUGUUUCUGAGGGCUGAUCCUCGUGGGGUGAGGUUUAUGAGGGUGCUGCUAGGGUUUGAACGUGUUCUCCAGACUUCAUGUGUGGGAAACUUGAUCUCCAGUGCAGCAGUAUACGGAAGUGGAGCCUAAUGGGACGUAUUUGGGUCUUGGGGGCACUGCCCUCAUGAAUGGAUUAAUGCCAUUAUUGCUGGAGUGGGUUCAUAAUAAAAGGAUGAGUUUGGUCCCUUCUUGCUCUCUCUCUCACCUUGUAAUGCCUUCGACCAGCUUAUGAUGCUGCAGGAAGGCCCUUGCCAGAUGCUAGGUCCUCGAUCUUGGAAUUCCAAGCCUCCAGAACUAUGAGCCAAAUAAAUUUCUGUUCCUUACAAAUGACCCAGUCUCGGGUAUUCUGUUAUGGCAGAACAAAACGGACUGCGACUAGCACUAACAGAACAAAACGGACUGCGACUAGCACUAACAGAACAAAACGGACUGCGACUAGCACUAACAGAACAAAACGGACUGCGACUAGCACUAACAGAACAAAACGGACUGCGACUAGCACUAACAGAACAAAACGGACUGCGACUAGCACUAACAGAACAAAACGGACUGCGACUAGCACUAACAGAACAAAACGGACUGCGACUAGCACUAACAGAACAAAACGGACUGCGACUAGCACUAACAGAACAAAACGGACUGCGACUAGCACUAACAGAACAAAACGGACUGCGACUAGCACUAACAGAACAAAACGGACUGUGACUAGCACUAAUCCCGUUCACGAGGGGAGAGCCCUCAUGACCUAAUCUAAGCACCCCCACCUCUCAAUACUGUCGCAUUGGGGGUAACAAUAUGAAUUUUGGGGGAGCACCAACACUCAGACCCUCGAGUGUGGGUUCCUCCUGACAUGCCAUGAAAUCUCUGUUCAUGCUCCAAGUUAAGGCAUCAUUAUCAGCUCAUUGCCCCAACCAGAAACGGGAGUCAGCCCCUUUAAACCUGCCAACCCCCACAUUCCAAAGGUCCCUGCCAGCCUAGGCAGUACUCUACCAGCCUUACUUCACACCCUUCAUAUUCUCCUCCUUCCAACAGAUUCUCCAUCUUGCGGUCUAAUUUACUUUUUCUUCUUUUUCUCUUCCAGAUAUGGUCACAUGUAGCUUAACAACUGGGAUGCAUUCUGAGUAAUGCAUCAGUAGGCAAUUUUGUCAUUGUGUGGACAUCAGCGAGUGUACUCACAAGCCUAGAUGUUAGAACCUACUACACACCUAGGCUGUGUGGUACAGCCUGUUGCCCCAGGCUACAAACCUUAACAGUAUGUUACUGUACUGAACACUGCAGGCAGUUGUAACACAAUGGUUAGUAUGUGUAUAUCUAAACACACCUAAACAUAGAAAAAGUGCAGUAAAAAUAUGGUAUUAUAAUCUUAAGGGACCACUGCCGUAUAUGCGUCAUUGACCCAAAUGUUAUGUGGCACAUGACUGUAUAAUGUUUCUAAAGAAUAAAGGUGGUUGGGCACUUUGGAAGGCCGAGGUGGGCAUAUCACUUGAGGUCAGGAGUUCAAGACCAGCCUGGCCAAUAUGGUGAAACCCCAUCUCUACUAAAAAUACAAAAAUUAGCCUGGUGUGGUGGUGCACACCUGUAAUCCCAGCUACUCGGGAGGCUGAGGCAGGAGAGUCGCUUGAACCUGGGAGAUGGAGGUUGCAGUGAGCUGAGAUUGUACCUCUGCACUCCAGCCUGGGUGACAGAGCAAGACUCCAUCUCAGAAAAAAAAAAAUAAUAAUAAAAAAAGAAUAAAGGUAAUAUAGCUGCAUUUGGAAAACAGAAAUAAGGAAGAUAUAAUCACGUGUAAUUCUAUGUCCUAACAGCCAUCAUUACUUUUUAUGUUUCCUUUUGGUGUUUCUUAACUAUGAGCAUGAUUUAUUCUCAUAAUUAGAGUUUAUAAACAAUCAUUUUCUCUUGGUUUUCUCUCAACCUGUUAAGGCUUUUCCUAAAAAUUCUCUUGAGUCAUUCAGUAGGUGUGUACUAUUUAACCACCCUUCUGUUAUACCAUGGUUAGCUUCUAAUUUUUCACCUUUACAAGCAGUAUUGCAGUGAACAUUUUCAUGUGCAUAACUGUUUCAGUAUUUUGAACUGUAUUUCUUUGGGAUAGAUUCACAAGGUCAUAAAACAUGAAGUUUUGUUGCAAAAUUGGUGAUCAGAUGUUUAGGGCAUUUCAUAGUGCUGUCAGCAAUGUUUAAAAAUGUCAGACUUCAUAGUAUCUAUGACAGCGGUGGCUAUCAUUUUUCUGAUUUUUUUUCUCCUGUUUUGAAAAUGUAUAUAGAAAAAAAAUUUUUUCUCCUAAUGAAAGAAGUAAUACAAGCUUGUUGUAUAAAAUUUAGAGAAGCCAAAAGAAAAUUAAAAUCAACUAUAUAAUCUUGCUUUUUCUGUGUGAUAAACACUGGUAAUAUUAUGGGCUGUAUCCUAUCUGAAUUUUUAAAAAUAUGUAUAUAUAAUUUCUUUUCCUUUUAUUCUUUCUUUCCUUUUUCUGUUUAUUUCUUUUGUUAAAUUGAAUAACAUUAUUUUUCAUGUAGUUUUAUGCUUGUGUGAACAUCUUUUUAGGAUAUUAAAUAUUUUUCACAAAAUUCCCCAUUUGUACAAAUUUAGAUUAUUUUCAGUUUUUGCUAUUUUAAUUAAUAUUGUAUGACCAUGUUUAUAGCUACAUCUUUGCACAUUUUAAAGCUCUUCUAUUUAAGAACGCCCCUGUACUGGGUGUUAUAAUGUGUUUAAAAAUAUAUAUAUAUGGAAAUUUUUUGAUUAAAAAAAUUUUCUUGUUUAAUUUGAAUUAACGUAAUUAAAGAGGUGGCAGACUUUUUAUAUGCUACUAGACAGUCAUAGUUAUUUUGCUAAUUAUUUGUGUAACUUUUUUCUCUUUUACAUCAGACAUUUCAGCCCCUUCCAGGUGAUAAGGAAAAGAUUUUUACACAUGGAAGAUAUUAAUCUUUUGUCUUGAAUAUAUAUUGCAAAAUGGUUUUCAGUUUCUCAGCUGCCUUUCAAUUUCACUUAAUCUUUUUUUUUAUUUUUUGAUUCUAAACAUGUUUCUUCAUGGCAUCUGUCUUUGGUGUCAUAUCCUGGAAAGAUUCUUUGCCCUCCUAAUAGUAGAAAUAUUUUCUUCUAGUGCUUCUAAGGUUUAAUUUUCUGUAGUUAAAUAUUUAAACUCUCUGUACUUCAUCUUUUCGAUGUAGUUUCUAAUCUACUUUUCCUCUCCAAAUAGGUAGCAAGUCGUUCAAAGUGGUGAUGUCAUAGAAAUGACUGGUUGGCUACUUUAGAUGUCAACUCUUUUCAGUUUCAUAUAUAAAUUUAGUACGAUUUCCAUCAGAAUCGUAAUGGGACGCUUUGGGAAUUUGACUACAUAAUUAUAAAUUUCAUCUAGGAGAAUAAACAUGUACAAAUGGCCAAGAAAAUUUCAGAAGGGAAAAAUUCAAAGGGGAGAGACACUUAGGGCAUCUGAUAUUAAAAUAUCUUAUAAAGCUAUAGUAAUGAUAGUGAAAACAGAUGUUACCAGUAUAGGAACAAACAAAUCAGUGAAACAAAGAAAUGUCUGAAACAGACCCCAGUAUAAAAAAUAAUUUAGUACAAUGUAUCAUUAUAGUGACAUAUUUCAAAUCACCGGGAAAAGGAAAGAUUCUUAAAUGAAUGAUUUUGACUAAUUAAUGUCGUAAGUUAUAUUAACAAAUUUUAUAAUAUAGAGCCAUCCUUGCAAUCCUAGAAUAAAUACUACUUGGAUCACAUGUAUUAUUCUUCUAGUCUGUGUUUAAAUCAAAUUUGCUAAUGUUUUGUUUAGGAUAUUAGGUACUAGCACUAGCCAGGCAAUGUUUUUUUUCUCAGAAAUAAAUAGCAAGUAACAUUUAUUGAACACACGUGAUGUACCAGAGACUUUACUAAGUGCUGUGUAUACAUUGUGUAGCUUAAUCCUCACAUGAGGUAAGCUACUGUAUUAUAUUUAUAUUUCCCCAUUUCACCUACGGGGAAAACUAAAGCAGAAAGGGCUUAAAGAACUUGUAGUGUGGGUUUUUUUAUUUGUUUGUUUUGUUUUGUUUUCACAAAAAGUCUCACUCUGUCGCCCAGGUUGGAGUGCAGUGGCGCCAUCUCAGCUCACUGCAACCUCUACCUCUCAGGUUCAAGCAAUUCUCCUGCCUCAGCCUCCUGAGUAGCUGGGAUUACAGAUGUACACCACCACACCUGGCUAAUUUUUUGCAUUUUUAGUAGAGACGGCUUUUCACCAUCUUGGCCAGGCUGGUUUCGAACUCCUGAUCUCAGAUGAUCUGCCUGCCUUGGCCUCCCAAAGUGCUGGGAUUACAGCUGUAAGCCACCACACCCAGUCUUGUCCUGUGUUUUGCCACUAAAGUGCACUGUCUCACCAUCUCAUGUCAUUUGCCUCUCAUUUUGAAAAUAAGAGACACAGAGGAAAACUCUAAUACAAAACUACACAUAUCCAAAGUAGAAGUUUUAGGAGGAGAGAACAGAGAAAAACAAAUAUGAAAGAAAUAAUCAACAGAGUUCCCUGAGUCUUCAGAUCAAAAGGCCUCACUGAAUAUUUGGCAAGAUUAAUAAAACAGAACUACCUAGAUAUUUGGGGGGGAUGGGAUUUGUUGACAUUUUCUUUAUAUCUUGUUUGUUUACUUUUUUAUUUUUUAUUGAGACAGAAUCUUGCUCUGUAACCCCGGCCGUGGUGCAAUCACAGCUUACUGCAGCCUUGACCUCCUGGGCUCAAGGGAUCCUCCCACCACAACCUCCCAAGUAGCUGGGACUACAGACAGGAAUGUGCCACCACACCUGGCUAAUUUUUUUAUUUUUUGUAGAGGCAGGGUUUCACCAUGUUGCCUGGGUUGGUCUCAAUCUCCCAGGCUCAAGCGAUCCACCUGCCUCAGCCUCCCAAAGUGUUAGGAUUACAGGCGUGAGCCUCUGUGCCCAGCCCAUUUUCUUUAUAUCUUAACAUAAUAUAUUUUUAUAAGUGGCCAUAUGUUAGAUGACAGCAUAGUUCAAAAUCAGAAAUUACAUAGGUCCCAUUAUUUAACCAUUAGGGUAUACAAUCAGGAAUAACUAAUAAAAAAAAAAUGCUUAGAAAUUCAAAAAUAAGGCCGGGCUCGGUGGCUGACGCCUGUAAUCCCAGCAAUUUGGGAGGCUGAGGCAGGCGGAUCACUUGAGGUCAGGAGUUUGAAACCAGUCUGGCCAACAUGGUGAAACCCCGUCUGUACGAAAAAAAAAAAUAGCUGGGCAUGGUGGCGAGCGCCUGUAAUCCCAGCUACUUGGGAGGCUGAGGCACAAGAAUCACUUGAACCUGGGAGGCAGAGAUUGCAGUGAGCCGAGAUCGUGCCUCUGCACUCCAGCCUGGGCAACAGAGCAAGACUCCAUCUCAAAAAAGAAACAAAAAACAACAAAAAAUUUACAGAACUGGACAUCCCCAGAAGAAGAAGAUUUUCGUUUUUCGUAACUUUUGAAAACUCUGGCCAGAAUCUGAACAAAGAGGAGCUGAGUGGCUGCAAGACAUUUGGCCUUUGUGUGUCUGGUCUUGAAUCACCUUCCAGAGUAGAAGUCGUUCGGAUCCGGUUAGGAAGAGCGCUCGAGGCUCUGAAGUUGCAGCUCACUGAGAAAGUAGGGUUCGUUUCCUGCCUUGAACCAAAGUGGCACAUGGUAAGUGUCUUCACAUGGGUUCUGCCGCAGUGACUUUAAUGGGUUUCAGGGAAACGCUGUAGGUGGGUGGGGUGAGGACGUGCAGGUGCUUCCUCCCACUGAGGACUGCAGGCCACAGAGCUCAAAUGAAGGCAGUGGGACAGCGAGACCCCACUGGGACCACACAGAUGCACAAGCUGCUUCAAACCUUUCAGGGCCCUUAAAUUCCCAGCAACUAAAAGGAAACAGGCCGCCUGGGGUGCUGGAAACCGCCGGCCUGGAGUCAGCCGAAGGUUCGGUGAGACCGUGGGAGGCCACCCUUUGGUGGCUCAUUCUCCCCUGCUUGUGAAAUAGGGAUAUGGGAGGGGGGCAGAACAGACCACGGGUUCCCAAGCUGGGCUCUGGAGAGUUCUAAGGGUGGCAGAGGCCCUUCCCCAGCAGGGGUGGCGAGGGGGAGUACAGCAGGUCAGGUCUUGGCGCCUGUGCUCCCUCCAGCCAGAGCUGUUCCACUCCGAUUCUUCUCUAGCCUGGCCUCUCCGAGAUGCCUUCUGUUUAAAGAGCAGCUUCUGCUGCUUUAAAGUAAGAUUUUAAUCAUCAGGGGACUGAGCGAUUUGUGAGGCCCCUUUGGCGCCCUGGGUUUCCCUGAGUCAGCAGGAAGCACGCUGGUGCUCCCCGAAUGGCAGACUGGGACCCCAGCUGUCAGGGAGGGAGACGCUCGGGCCUAUCAUGUUAGAUUCAUAAAGCUUGCACUCUGGGAAAUUGCUUUUGACAUGCUCAGGGGUAAAACGUUUCUCAAAAGAAGCUCCACAUAAUUUAAAUGAUGACAUUUUAAAUCAUGUGGAGAUGGCGGUGAUCUUUAAAAAAUGUUCCCAUCUCAAUUUGCAAACCUGUUUGGACAAACCAGUCAAAGGCAAUUUUCCUCAUGGAAUUACCAGCAAACAGAACCUUUCAUAAGACUUCUGUGCCUCAGACAGGCCUCUCCCUCUUUCCUGACCACCCACCCAUCCCAGCUUUCCUAAGACAAAGAGAGAGAGAUGGAGUUCAGACUGUUUUUUUUUUAAUCAUCUGGGGACCUUGGCCAAGGGGAAGAGGAGAAAGCAGGGGCCAGGCUCGGGGUCUGACCAGGCUGCAGGACUCGGCGUGCGUGGUUUCUCAGUUGGACGUCCCAGAGGGCCAGGCCCGUGGGUGGGGACUCAGGUUGAAAAUCAAAGCCUUGGCCAAACAGAUGAGGAUUUGGGGCAGGGAAACUGAGGCAUGAGCCACUGGACCCUCUGCCUGGUCAUGCUUAGGCUAUGAAGUACACGGUUUCUUCCACAAAACCCCAGUCCUCCUGUUAUUGAUGACUUGGGGCCCACAGGUUUCCUUCAUUGCUGCCAUCAGGUUGGGGUUGGUGGGAUUCUGAGAUCUGGGCAAAUGGCACAGAAUGUUUAGCCCAAAGACAAGCAGAUGAGGUUUGUGGUAGAGCCAAAUGCUGAUUCUGCCCACCCCGCGUCAUCACCCCGCGUCGUCACCCCGUGUCGUCUGUUAGGGGUUCCUUGACUAUUUUGUUUGUUUCAAAAGCAUGUUUGUGUUUGUCUUUCUCCAAACAUCAGGGUGAAAUGGGAUCUUAAGAACCAUUAAGGCAGCCCUUUGAAACUCUAGCCCCGCAUCCCCCCAUCUCUGUCUUUAUAAUUUGGGGUCAGCUUCAUCAGCAAGCCCCUGUGCGCCUGUACCGAGAGGCCUUGAAUUUGGUUUCCGGCUCUGCAGUUGCCCUCUAAAAUUCUCAAUAGUGUGUGAACAGGGUCCCACACUUUGAUUUUGCAAAUUACGCAGCCUGUCCCAUGUGGAGUUUUAGAUUUGAAUUAUUAUUUUAUUAGUAUUUUUAGGCUAUAUAUCUUCACUCUAAAAAAUGCACGUGUAUGUAUUAGUUUUAUAAGUGAGAUUUACAGCAGUCAUUGAACUUCUUGCAGAGCUUUGCUGCCAGUCUUAACUGUAGGGUGUGGUCUGUCAGCCAACAAACAGCUUUUUAAAGAAUGUUUGCAUGUUGUGUGAGAGGGAAAAAAAUACGACACAAAGGGCCUUUAAUCAACAUGCUUGCAAAGCCACUCUCACAGAGUAGACGUCUUAUUGGGUAAUUUCUGGGUCCCAAGCCCCAUGCUGACCACAAGGAUACAGAGAGAAACAGAGCACAGCCCCUGCCCUCAAGGAGUGCCUUGUCUAGUUGAAAUCUGUUUCGUAACUUUCUAAACCUCAAGCCACUCUAAGAAAUAUGCAACCCAGAAUUCAGUACACAUAGAGAUAAUACACACAUAGAAAGAUGAAACAGUAGGCCGGGCAUGGUGGCUCAUGCAUGUAAUCCCUACUUUUUGGGAGGCCAAGUAGGGUGGAUCACCUGAGGUCAGGAGUCCGAGACCGGCCUGGCCAACAUCAUGAAGCCCCAUCUCUACUAAAAAUAUAAAAAAUUAGCUGGGCAUGGUGGCGGGCACCUGUAAUCUUAGCUGCUCAGGAAGCUGAGGCAAGAGAAUCGCUUGAACCUGGGAGGCAGAGGUUACAGUGAGCCGAGAUCUCACCACUGCACUCCAGUCUGGGCAACAAGAGUGAAACUCCAUCUCAGAAAAAAAAAAAAAAGAAAGAUGAAAACAGUCAUCUCAUGAAAUAAGGUACUUACUGUAUACACCGCAUUCUCUUUUCUAUUGUAUUUCAUUUUUUAAAAUACUGGUUAGAGCACAGUUGAUUUCACAACCCAUUAGUGUGAGUUUUUAAAGCACUGCUCUAAUGAGAGAGAUUGAUUUUUGCUAAGCAUUAUCCUAGCGGUGGUGCAGACUUCCAGAGGAAGCGGCAUUUGCCCAGAGUGUUGAAGGAUGAGAUGGAGCUUGCGGUGGAGAAGCUGGCGGUGGUUAUGAGGUGAAUUCCAGAGGGGGUCAUGAGCCUGGAGAGAGUUCCACGGGGCUUGGGUCCUGGGGAGUUGGUCCCGGAAAGGCAAAUCUGCAGAUGGUGGAGCACAUUGGGUGUCCAGCAAGAUGCUGUACUCUCUCCUGUGUGAGCCAUAGGAAGUGGUUUGUUUUUUUAACAGCUUUAUUUGAAAUAUACCAUAAAAUUCACCUAUUGUAAGUGGACAGGGCCAUGAUUUUUAGUAAAUGUAUGGAGUUGUCCAACCACCAUCCAGUUUUAGAACAUCUCCAUCACCCCAAAAAGCGCCCUGGUGCCCAUGUCCGUCAAUCCCCGUUCCUUCCCCCAGCCCCAGGCAACCACUGAUCUGUUUUCUGUCUCUGCAGAUUUGUCCUUUCUAGAAACCGUGUACACAUGGACUCCUACAAUCCAGUCCUUUGUGUCUGGCUUCUGUCACUCAGCGUCGCAUUUCUGGGGCUCAUCCAUGUUGUAGCAUGUAGUGGUAUUCCAUUGAUUGGCUACACUGUAGUUUCUCCAUUUGCCAGAUGAUGGAUGCUUGGAUUGUUUCCAGUUUGGGGCUAUUUUGAAGAACGCUUCUAUGAGCAUUUGCAUCUGAGUUGUAUGGACGUAUGUUUUCAUUUCUCCCGGGGAGAUCCUAGGAGCGGAGUUGCUGCACUGCAUGGUGAACGUAUGUUUAACUCUUUAAGAAACUGCCUCGCUGACUUCUGAAGCAGCUGCACCGUGGCGUGUUCCCACCAGCAGCUUAUCUCGUGUCUUCACAUCUGCUGGAGGAUUUGAGCAGAGGAGAGAUGUGAUGAGACUUGCUCUUCAGAAGAUUCCUCCAGCUGCCGGGUGAGGGUCACUGAGAGGGAAAGGAAGAGGCAGGAGGGAGAAGUCUGGGUCCUAGGCUAAAGCUCCGGCUCUGGGUGGACCAGAGACAAGGAGCUGGAGUCCAGGGAUGUGUUCAACAGGGUCUGGCAUGGAAGGAGCAGGAGCCACAGAGACUUUGGUAACUGGCUCAGCCUCAAUCAGCAAGUGGCUGAGAGAGAAAAGAUGGAGGUGACUUGGGAGCAAGACUUCCAUCUGGACUGCGAUGAUGGUGCCGGGGCCUCUGGCUCUUGCCUGUCCAUGCAUCAUGCAUGGCCAGAUCAGCAGUCACAUCCCUUCAGAAGGUUCCCACAUCCUGUAAGGGGAGUGGCUCCCAGUCCUGGCUGCCCUUUUGAAUCACCUGGAAAACUUUAAAAUCUGCUGGCUGGGUCCUGAUGUAACUGAUCUGCGCACAGCCUGGGCAUGGAGAGGUUCAAGCUCCCAGGUGAUUUGAAUGCACACUGGGCUGAGUCAAGCUCUCAGGCGCAGGUGCACACUGGGAGCUCCAGGGGAGUUUUACAAACUACUAAAGUGCUGAGUCCCACCCAGAGCUUUUGGUGCAGUUGGGACAGGGGGAAGCCUGUGCACUAGGAGUUGUAACCUUUCCCCGGGUGAUUAUAACGCGCAGCCACGUUUGGGGACUGCUGCUUGAAGGCAACUUGUUUGGACCCAAGAGUCAGUUCUGAGCAGAUGCUUCUAAUGCUAGCAUUUCCUAAAAGAGUGUUCUUGAUUCUCUCGCUCUUUAUAAGUAGACCCAGAAAUCUUUUUUUUUUCCUUCUCAAUGUACAGAUUAUUUUUCUGAAGCAUUUUAUAGUACAUGUUGCUAAAAAAUAAAACCAGAUUCCACUGCA